rnacentral:ncRNA from 1 species
CGCAAAUCGUUGAGUAAGAGUAGUAGCCAUUUUAGAUGCGAUACAGAGAGCCGGGAAAGGUGGAAACCGGUACGCUAAAAAGUGGUGAAUGGACUUAUGAGAGGCGCCUUGAAUGAAUAGUAGGGGAGCCCGGAUUCCACCGUUACAGGGAUAGGGUAUAAAUAAAGAUGUACCCGAAAAGCGGGAAGGCGAUAAAAAGCCUUCCAAGCUGAGGUGGCACCGCGGUCAAUAAUCGUCCUCUGC